UACGUAGGGGGGCAAGCGUUUGUCCGGAAUCAUUUGGGCGUAAAGAGCGUGUAGGCGGCUCGAUAAGUCUGCUGUGAAAGUCCAGGGCUCAACCCUGGAAGGCCGGUGGAAACUGUCGGGCUAGAGUCCGGAAGAGGCGAGUGGAAUUCCCGGUGUAGCGGUGAAAUGCGCAGAUAUCGGGAGGAACACCAAUGGCGAAGGCAGCUCGCUGGGACGGUACUGACGCUGAGACGCGAAAGCGUGGGGAGCAAACAGG
rnacentral:rRNA from 1 species